rnacentral:sRNA from 1 species
AAUUCUUCCUAUUCGGGAAGGAUGAGAAGCUUCGACCAAGGUUCGAUUCGAGCGUUAGCGAGAAAGCGUUGCCGCAGGCAACGACCCGAAGGGCGAAGCGCGCAG